UCGCCAUAUCCCCCCUUAUUUUUUCGAUUAAAAUCUUAUUAUUACCCGCCUUUCAGUUAUAUUCUAUUGGAACUCUUGAAAUUAUUAGAUACCGAUUCCUAUAAAAAUUGCUAUAAUAUAAAAAAAGUGUUUCCUCUUCUUUUUUUUUCUUAUCUAUCGUCUUUCAUCUCUAUCAAAAACCUUUCUUUAGUCUAAUCUUUAGUCUAAUCUUUAGACUAAUCAGAAAGGAUUCUAUCUAUUAUAGGUAUUGCCCCAGUCGUGUCUCUGUAAUUGAUCGAAAGCAUAAAAAAGGAAACUCCCUGCACCCUAUUAUCUCCUAACGACAUGAAAGGAAAUCCAUACUCAAAACGCCUGGAUUAACUGUGCUUGAACUGGAAAUGAAAUACCUGCUUUUACCAGCUUCAAAUCAAAGCUAGACUAAUAGGAGCGCGCUAGCGCGUGCAUCCGUUUUUCAGCUGGGCCCGAGAGAAUGAGGUUCCAGACCUGUCUAGAGUGAACCGGCAGUGUGGUAAGCGCAGAGUGAGCACAUGGCAGAUACAAGACCGGGGCAAGAGAAGCUUGACGCUAGUCUACUUCAAUCUGAACCCGCCAAGCGAGUAUGUAGCAAAAGCUAACACAAAUCGAAGGCGUAUCGCGAAGGGGAUCGACGCUAAUAUACGUUGUUUCGACUGAAGUGUACAUGAUCGAGCUCUUUCCCUUAGGCUUGUGACGAGAAGAAUGUUCAAAGCGGAUAAAAAGGGAUGCGACGAAAUGCAAUUCUCUUUUAAAUUCCGGGAAAAUCUCAUUUGUCGUUUGAAGAAAAUAAAAGACAAAAGAACAGAUAGUUAGCAUAACUCAACCUGUUGGGAUUACUGUCAGUCUCUUUCAUCUGAAUAAGAGUCCUUCUCAGGUACCUUUCACCGAUCUUGGGGAACCGCUUUUGACCUCUAUUUCGCUUGUCUUUUUUCUAGACAAGAAGACAUGAAUAAAAUAGGUAGGAGUAUGUAGAGGGCAAUGCAGGGUUCCAUCUGACUUUAUUCUUUGUUUGAUAGUCCUUUUUUAUGGGAAUAGCAGUCUAGUUGAUCAUCCCGUCACAUGGCUCUUCUGUCAAUGUGAGGCAAAUCAGAUUGAGUUGACAUCCACUCCUAGUUGGGCCCCAACGAACAGAGCAGGAACUCGCUCGAUCAAUGGGAGGAUUGAAAACCAGCAACUACUGGCUAAGGUACCUUCUGCCUCCUUGCUUAGCUUGACUUGUUCGCGGAGACUUUAUUGACCUUGGCAGCUAAGCGGCGGCAUUCAAUUUUUGGUAGAGCCGGACCUUAACCUCACGACGGAGACUCCCGCUUUUCCUAAAACCUGUAACUUGCAAGUCGUGACUCGAAAGUUGUGCUUUUGAUAUAAGAUUGUCUCAUAAAUAUAUUAGUUUCAAGAAUCAAAGAUAUAAAGACUGAGUUGUGGAUGUUCUCCACCGAUUAUAUCAAACAACUUGCAUGUUUUCCUAAAAAAGAUUAAGUCUCGCUCUGAAUAGCGAGGGGAGGGCAUGGGUUGAUCGCGAGAUUCCCCUUUGAGAAGCAUGCACAUGUUCAGCUUCCUUAAGCCCCAAUUCAUCCAAUAGUUCAAGCUGUGCUAGCAAGGCUUCUCGUCGCUUAUCUAUCGGGAGGUCUUUAUAGAGCUGUACUCUUAAAGAUUCCAUCUUAAUUUCGUAUGGGAGGAUGGCUUCCAUCACAUACGUUAGUUAUUACGGAACCCUUUCAUAAAGGCUCGUCAGCAAUUGACGUUCGGUAAGCCUAGAGUGCUUCAACGAGACGAUCUAGUCAAUCUGACCCCCCCACUUUCAUUCGACUGAGGAUAGAGGGGCGAUGAGUGAUGCAAACACCUACCAAAGUUAUUUAAUAUAUACUAAAUAUUUCAUUAGUA